rnacentral:misc_RNA from 1 species
GUGAAUCAUCGAAUCUUUGAACGCACAUUGCGCCUCUCGGUAUUCCGGGAGGCACGCCUGUCCGAGCGCCAUUACACACUCCAAGCUCAAGCUUGAUGUUGGACGAUGUCUUUUGACGACGUGAGUAUAGCGCUGUCGGAGACACGUCUGGAACACGUGGGCGCCGACCACCGGACCACGAGCGUAGCAAGACGACGUAACAGUCAUUUCCGCUCGGAUGUUGGGACGUGUGGUGCGGCCGCCAAAUGUAUGACCAAAAAGAGUUUGGCCUCGGAUCAGGCGGGGAUACCCGCUGAACUU